rnacentral:rRNA from 1 species
CAGCCGCCACGGUAACACGUGGGGUGCGAGCGUUAAUCGGAAUUACUGGGCGUAAAGCGGGCGCAGACGGUUACUUAAGCAGGAUGUGAAAUCCCCGGGCUCAACCUGGGAACUGCGUUCUGAACUGGGUAACUAGAGUGUGUCAGAGGGAGGUAGAAUUCCACGUGUAGCAGUGAAAUGCGUAGAGAUGUGGAGGAAUACCGAUGGCGAAGGCAGCCUCCUGGGAUAACACUGACGUUCAUGCCCGAAAGCGUGGGUAGCAAACAGGAUUAGAUACCCGCGUAGUCCCUGUCUCUUAUAC